GACGAACGCUGGCGGCGUGCUUAACACAUGCAAGUCGAACGGAAAGGCCCUGCUUGCAGGGUGCUCGAGUGGCGAACGGGUGAGUAACACGUGGGUGAUCUGCCCCUUAUUUUGGGAUAAGCCUGGGAAACUGGGUCUAAUACUGGAUAGGACCAUGCUGUAGGUGGUGUGGUGGAAAGAUUAGUUUCGGUAAGGGAUGAGCUCGCGGCCUAUCAGCUUGUUGGUGGGGUAAUGGCCUACCAAGGCGUCGACGGGUAGCCGGCCUGAGAGGGUGGACGGCCACAUUGGGACUGAGAUACGGCCAAGAGUCCUACGGGAGGCAGCAGUGGGGAAUAUUGCACAAUGGGCGCAAGCCUGAUGCAGCGACGCCGCGUGGGGGAUGACGGCCUUCGGGUUGUAAACUCCUUUCAGCCAUGACGAAGCCCUUGUGGUGACGGUAGUGGUAGAAGAAGCACCGGCUAACUACGUG
rnacentral:rRNA from 1 species